rnacentral:lncRNA from 1 species
AGACCUUCAUAAAACAACAAGAAGGAAGAUGCUGUACUCCUUCCCGCAGUCUCAGCUGUCCCAGCCCCAUCCCGAAGAGCAUCCACCGCGGAUCCUGUGGGCUCCACAACAGCAGGUGGCUGCCUUCAGCAUGGGUGAGUGGGGUGCAGAGGGCCAGGGUCCCAUGGUUUAUGGAGGCCACCUGCUAAGUCCCUCCAUUGCCUCCUGCCUGUGGACCGCAGCAUCACCUCCUCUAAGGAGAAUACAGUGACAAACUGAGGCCCGUCUAGUUCCUGGAUCACCUUUUCUGGGGGCUCAGUCUAGGCGUUCUCAGAGGUACAGCUUUCCCGGGUUUCAAUUAUGUGGGAAUAACAAUAGCUGUCCUAGAUCAAGCCCUAACCCCCACCCCAAACCCAGAAUGGACCCAUCAAUGUCAGAGCUGCGGCCGAUGUGCUCAACUCCACCUAGGUGGUUCUCACCCUUACCCUAUCUCUGGGAGGGAGGUGGCAUCAGGCUCGGGUUACAAAAGAGAGAUGGAGGGCCCCGAAAAGUUAGGUGGCUG